CAUUUACGUAAAUGGAUCUGCUCUAAAGAACUGUUUUUCUUUUGUAUCAACAAAGAGUUGGAAGUAGAGAACGGAGAUUUGAGGUCAUCUGUCAGUGAUAAUUCUUCAGUUGCUACUGAAAAUCGAGAUUAGCUUUCUGUAAUUCCUUUGAAUUUGUGGUGCUAACCAAUAGUUUCUUUGAAGAAGACGAAUCCCGGCGCCAAUUUCCUUCUAGUCGGAGUCUGAUCGUGAAUUUUCUACUCUAUUAGAUGGAUGCAAAUACAACUCAAAGUGAAGCUUCAACUGAAAUUAGUUCCUCUAUUCACCCUACAUCUGUACCUGCACCUUCUGCUGAUGCUCAGCAAGCUGCACAAUCUGCUCCAACCGAAG